GGAACCGAAUCGCGUCAACGUGAA
rnacentral:siRNA from 1 species